AUCUGAAUUUUCACUUCACUUUUGUCUCUAUUCUCUUAAGGAAAGUGCUAGGAAGCUCCCUUGAGUCUUUCUCUUGAGUCACACACACACCAAAAGAAAGAUAAGUCUUCAUCUUAUCUCAUAUUUGACUCUUUCAAAGAACCUACAACAAUCAAGAACUCUCUCCCUCUUUCAUUCCUACGGGUCCAACACAAAAAGAAGGAAAAGCUCUCAAUUGUUUUCUCCCUUUCAUACCUAUGAGUCCAGCAGCAAAAAGGAAGCUUCUUUUAACUCUCUCAAGCUCUCUACCUCUCAUACUUUCUAGUCCAGCCACUAGGAAAGGGAAAUCCUUUCAUGUGUUACCAGUUCCCCAGGUUUAAGCUCCUUCGACUGUAGGCUCUCGGUUCCUCUGCUUUCAGGUAAGGGAUAAGUUAUAUGGGCAUUUGGUAAGUCAUGAGGUUAUUUUAAAUUAUAUUAUGCAUUAAAAUGUUUUUGAUUAGAGAUAUGGCAUGUAAUCAUUAUUCUGACAAAGAUAUGUUCGUGAGCUUUCGAAAAACUUAUGUAUAUGAUUUAAGCAUAUUGAUGCCAUUACUAAUUUCCACGAA